UCCCGCCUGGCACAAUUGGCUAGCGCGUGAGACUUUUAAAAAGCAGAAUCUCAAGGUUGAGAGUUCGAACCUCUCGGUGGGAG